UACGGAGGGUGCGAGCGUUGUCCGGAAUCACUGGGCGUAAAGGGCGCGUAGGUGGCGCGGGCAGUCAACGGUGAAAGUUCGGGGCUCAACCCCGAAUCGGCCGUCGAUACUCCCGGGCUUGAGCACUGUAGAGGCUAAUGGAAUUCCGGGUGUAGCGGUGGAAUGCGUAGAGAUCCGGAAGAACACCGGUGGCGAAGGCGGUUAGCUGGG
rnacentral:rRNA from 1 species